rnacentral:lncRNA from 1 species
GCCUUUUGACCGCAUAGGUAAAGUCCUGCUUGCUGCUGUUGACCUGAUGAAGGGCAGCAUGUUGGAACUUCCAUCUGUUUUACACUCUUUUGGCGGGUCAUUUCUCCCACUGUGAGCCAGGCUUGAGAAUCUAGGCAGAUGUCAGAGGUCUGUCCCUAUGUUUCUUUCAAGCUGGCAAGAAUUCCACCAUGACUGCCACUUGCUCCCCCAUGGGUGUCAGAAUCUGUCAUAAUGGUUGGAUGUUUUUGUAAAACAUAAACAUUCCUGAUUUUAAGGUGUACAAUGAGACACAUUUUGUAAUUUGGGAAGGUACACCAUUUCAGUUUAGCAAUAGGGAGCUAUGGAGUUAGGCAGGGAGUCAAUAGAAUAUGUGCAGUCUUGGCAGUAUUUCAGUGUCAGUUGAUCCUUGAUUGUUCACAGUGAUAUAUAAUGCCUUAGUAUUUAAUGAGAAAAACAGUAGAAAAAUUUAUGUGGUUCCUCAUCAUCCCCCAUGUCUUAUACCUUGCUUGUCCCUAUCUUUAAAGUAACCUCCAAAACGGAUGAAAGGUUUUAUAUUUAAAAAAAAAAAAAAGAAUUCCAAGCAUGUCUUAAAGUAAGCAAUAAAAAUACUUUGGUGGUUACAGUUUACCUAAUAUAAAUUCCACUUUAAUCUGUGUGUUCUGUCAGACACACUCCCCAUUGAAUUCUCAAAGUGCUGUCCAGAGACUGUGACUAGAUAAUCUGGCUAGUUUAGUAACCUCAGGAGAGAUUUUAGUAAGAUGACUUUCAUAAUCCUCAAAUCUUACGUAUGUUGGCUUCUGGUUUUUCAAGCACGCAUCACUGACUAGAGCAGCUCUUAUAUCUAUUUUGGCAUCUUGAAAAUUAUAUUAGUUUUUACUACCGGAGUGGGACCCCUCAGCCUCUUCGACUCUUUGAAUUAAGGACAUACUGAGUCACGGCCUCUUCACUAUCACUUGCUCUUAAUAAGUGAUGUACCCAGGGAGAAUUAAGUCCCGUAGGCCAGUAGAACACCAUUUUUUCAUUAACACAAAGUGUGCUGCUUCUCUGAUACCACUACGGUGCUGGGAAUGGUAUCCUACAGUCUGGAAGAAUUUAUAACGCACUACCCAAGUGUCAAACUUACUGCCAGAGAACAACUUAGAAUUGAGGAUAGAAGGGUAGAAAACAGCGACCAUGGGGCUUGCUAACUUUGCUCUUAUACAGAUUGAGUAUCCCAUAUCUGAAAUGCUUGGGAUCAGAACGUUUUGGAUUUCAGAUUUCAUCGGAUUUCAGAAUAUCUGAAUAUACAAAAUGAGUUAUCUUGGGGAUGGAACCCAAGUCUAAAUGUGCAAUUCAUUUGUUUCAUAUAUACCUUGUACAUACAGC